rnacentral:rRNA from 1 species
UCGGGAAUUUUGGGCAAUGGGCGAAAGCCUGACCCAGCAACGCCGCGUGAAGGAUGAAGUUUUUCGGAAUGUAAACUUCACAAGAAUGGGAAGAAUAAGGAGGGGGUAAUAUCCUCUCCGAUGACGGUACCAUUUGUAAGCUCCGGCUAACUCCGUGCCAGCAGCCGCGGUAAUACGGGGGGAGCAAGCGUUGUUCGGAUUUACUGGGCGUAAAGGGCGCGUAGGCGGCGCAACAAGUCACUUGUGAAAUCUCCGGGCUUAACUCGGAGCGGUCAAGUGAUACUGUCGUGCUAGAGUGCGGAAGGGGCAACUGGAAUUCUCGGUGUAGCGGUGAAAUGCGUAGAUAUCGAGAGGAACACCUGCGGCGAAGGCGGGUUGCUGGGCCGACACUGACGCUGAGGCGCGAAAGCCAGGGGAGCGAACGG